CUGGCCCCGGAUCAAGGCCAGCAGUGUGCUGAAGCUGCCGGUCUCACGCAGGCACCUAAAGAAAUGUCCUCCUGCGGCCUGCUGGCUCUGCGGAACGUAGGAAUGUAACUGUCAACUCACUAGAAAGAAAUACCC